GCCAGCAUGGCAUAGUGGUUUAGCGUUCCACUACAAUUCUGGAGACCAGGGUUCGAUUCCCCACUCACCCA